rnacentral:rRNA from 1 species
UACGUAGGGGGCUAGCGUUGUUCGGAAUUACUGGGCGUAAAGCGCACGUAGGCGGAUAUUUAAGUCAGGGGUGAAAUCCCGCAGCUCAACUGCGGAACUGCCUUUGAUACUGGGUAUCUUGAGUAUGGAAGAGGUUAGUGGAAUUGCGAGUGUAGAGGUGAAAUUCGUAGAUAUUCGCAGGAACACCAGUGGCGAAGGCGGCUAACUGGUCCAUUACUGACGCUGAGGUGCGAAAGCGUGGGGAGCAAACAGG